rfam:Candida albicans SC5314 chromosome 4 sequence.
ACGUCAGUGGUUUAAGGGUAAAAUUCUUGCUUCCCAAGCAAGGGCUCCGGGUUCGAGUCCCGGCUGGCGUA